CUGGGCAAUUCCAUUUGAAUGGUAUCAGAGAGGUAGCGGUGUUUGUCUGGAUCUGUAAAAAGUGACAAAGAGUCCUGUGGCACCUUAUAGACUAACAGAAAUAUUGGAGCAUAAG